ACUUCCUAAAGUGCUGGGAUUACAGGCGUGUGCCACUGCACCUACCCUAACUUUCUUAAAAUGUGUGGCCCUCUCCUGACAUAGAGGUCGGUACCCAACCCACACUGAGCCACAGUCUGUCUCUCCCAGGACACUGAAUCUUGGGUGGAUUGACUAAAUAGAUGGCUGGAACCCGUUCAGUCCAGCCAGCAGCCCCACCCUGCAGAAACUGUCCAUUGGUUCUGCGUUCUCCACCUGCAGACCUGCCCCAUUCUCUUCUGAGCCUGCUUCUCCAGGCUUCUCUUCAAUUCUGUGAACUAUCUGACAUCCCUGCAACAAAUUCCUUCCCUGCCUACAUUAGUCAGAGUUGGCUUCUGUUGUUUACGCUCAAGAUACCCAACCGAUGGAUUCUAGGACAACGGAAUUCAAGAACGAAUUGGGCUCCUGUCCUAACUGUCAGCCUUUGUCCCACAGCCACAAAUCAUUUAACUGGGUCCUGUUGUUCUAUAAAACCAUGUGCUUGGUGGCAUGAGGGCUUUGGGAGGCAGCGGGAGUGAUGCAGCUCACCUCCCCACAAUAGGCAGGCUCAACUGGUGGGAAGUCAACUUCCCACCUUUCGUCUUGCGAUGGGUCUACCUCCAACCCACUGAAACCAAAGUGGGCUCCGUCUCAUUCUGGCCUAGGCAGAACAGGGCCCACAGCGCCCUCCCCUUAUAACCACGACUUCCUUCUCUUCCAGGGCACAUUCAGAAGAGACAGGCAUCUCCCUUGUGCAGGGCGGCUCCGUGGCCUGCCCGUCACCACCUGUCUGGGCUCCCUCCCCUUGAGUGAUGACUUCUCCCCAGCAGCUGACACCUGAGCUGGAGAGGGUGAAGAGCUGCCAUUCUCCAGAAAUAGACAGUGACACAGCGGAUGUUAGAUUGAGAUUAAUCUCUUGCACCGGACCGGCCCCUUGCCAACAAACAGGCCUGCAGCCAGAGGAUCUCUCAGGCCCUUUCCCCUGAUCUGGCCUCCUGGGAACUGCGUAACUCAGAUUAACAACAGGCUCUGGAGAGCUGAACAUUGUAUUACGUGCUCACUGGAAAUUUGGAUGUGUCCUUCUGUGAACUGCCUGCCCAGGAGCUAUGACAUGAGCUUUGCAAGUCUUCCCAAGGACCUGUUUGACUGGCACCUCUGUGGACCCAGCAGAUCUCAAAGUGCAGACAAGCCAACAUAACACAGCAUUCACGAUUCUAUUAUAAAAGAUGUGACGCAUCUCUGCUCUGCCGCUCCCCUCUCCCCCCUGACCCAGGCCUAACCUCCGACCACGUGAGUCCCGUCGCUCUUGGGAGUUCCCUGGGGGCCACGCUAUCCCUGGAAUGGGGACUCCCCUUCUGUCUCUGUGCUGUGUGCGACAGUCAUUCCAGGGAUAUCUUCCCGUGAGUGCAGGCAUCUCACCCUCGGCUCACGAAGUGCUCUCUAUGCUUCAAAUAGCUUCAAAAUAAUUUACCAAUACAAGCAAUUCUGAUUUUCCUGGCAAGUCAGAAAUCAAGUUGCUUUUUUUUUGUAUUUAUAAUUUUUCCAGCAGCAGGGGCCAGGGAAGACCCAGGUUCCCAGCACCAGAUAUCUGCACCUGGUGGCCUUCAGCGGGGCUCGGUGCUGCAGCAACUGCUGUCACCAGGGCCAGGGUUGUGGUACGGGGAAGUGACCUCGGGGUGGGGCCUUUGGGGUGGGCAAGGAGAGGUUUCAUGAGAAAUGAGCCUACACAGGUGGAGAAGACCUCGCCAUUAUCUGACCUUCUACUGUCACAGGUGGGGACACAGAAGUGAGGUUACUUCCCUGGAGGAGAUCCAGGCCGACCCCCUAAAUCGUCCACAUGCUAAUCCUCAGAAUCUGUGAAUAUGCUGCCUUGUAAGGCAGAAGGGGCUUUGCCGAUGUGAUUAGAUAAAGGUUCUUGGGAUGGGGGGAUUAUCCUGGAUUUGCAGGCAGUCCUGAUAUAAUCACAAGGGUCCUUAUAAAAGGGAGGCAGGCAGGUCAGAGCAGGAGAAAGAGAUAUGCCGAUGCAGAGAGGUCAUGGGGACGUGCCUGAGAGCCGAGGAGUGCUGGAAGCCUCUAA
rnacentral:lncRNA from 1 species